rnacentral:tRNA from 1 species
GUCGGAGUGGCGGAAUGGCAGACGCGCUAGGUUGAGGGCCUAGUGUCCCCAGGGACGUGCGGGUUCAACUCCCGCCUCCGACACCA